AUUGAACGCUGGCGGCAGGCUUAACACAUGCAAGUCGAGCGGAGUGAUGGUGCUUGCACUAUGACUUAGCGGCGGACGGGUGAGUAAUGCUUAGGAAUCUGCCAUUUAGUGGGGGACAACAUUCCGAAAGGAAUGCUAAUACCGCAUACGUCCUACGGGAGAAAGCAGGGGAUCUUCGGACCUUGCGCUAAAUGAUGAGCCUAAGUCGGAUUAGCUAGUUGGUGGGGUAAAGGCCUACCAAGGCGACGAUCUGUAGCGGGUCUGAGAGGAUGAUCAGCAACACGGGGACUGAGACACGGCCCAGACUCCUACGGGAGGCAGCAGUGGGGAAUAUUGGACAAUGGGCGGAAGCCUGAUCUAGCCAUGCCGCGUGUGUGAAGAAGGCCUUUUGGUUGUAAAGCACUUUAAGCGAGGAGGAGGCUACUAGUACUAAUAUUACUGGAUAGUGGACGUUACUCGCAGAAUAAGCACCGGCUAACUCUGUGCCAGCCGCCGCCGUAACAC
rnacentral:rRNA from 1 species